rnacentral:lncRNA from 1 species
CUUUUUUUUUCUUUUUUUUUCUUUUUUUUUUUUUCUUCUGCCAGGUUUCGAAAGAACAGGGAACCUGCUGUCAAAUGAUAGACUGGGAAUCAGAGACAGCUCCAAACUCAGUGUGUGAAGUUUCUAGGCCCUGUUUGAAGGCAGCAGAUGGAGCUGCCUGCCCUGAUCGUAAACAGCAACUGCCUGGAACCAAGUCUAUUUUGAAGAUACCACAAUCUGUCUUUGAGCAAUUUAAUCCUCAGCUAAAUCCUGGUGACCCACCACUGACUUCGCAAGCACUUCAGGUUAACAGCUUCACAUUCUCUUCCUUCAACCCAGCCUCUCGUCAG